rnacentral:ncRNA from 2 species
ACUCGGCAAUGGGGGAGCCGGAAAACCGGCUGAGAGGAGACCCUGUCUCGACCCCUGGAACCUGAUCCGGGUUAUACCGGCGAAGGAAAUUGCGGCUUGCCUCAA